CGGGAUGCAGCAGUCGAGAAUCUUCGGCAAUGGACGAAAGUCUGACCGAGCGACGCCGCGUGCGGGAUGAAGGUCUUCGGAUUGUAAACCGCUGUCAGAGGGGAUGAAGUAUACGAGAGCUAUCUCUUGUAUUUGACAGAGCCUCAGAGGAAGCACGGGCUAAGUUCGUGCCAGCAGCCGCGGUAAUACGAACUGUGCGAACGUUAUUCGGAAUCACUGGGCUUAAAGGGUGCGUAGGCGGUUUUCUAAGUCACGUGUGAAAUCUUCCGGCUCAACCGGAAAACUGCGCGUGAUACUGGAGGACUUGAGUGAGGUAGGGGUGUGUGGAACUUCCGGUGGAGCGGUGAAAUGUGUAGAGAUCGGAAGGAACGCCAGCAGCGAAAGCGGCACACUGGGCCUUGUCUGACGCUGAGGCACGAAAGCUAGGGAAGUGAACGGGAUUAGAUACCCCAGU
rnacentral:rRNA from 1 species